rnacentral:rRNA from 1 species
UACAGAGGUCCCAAGCGUUGUUCGGAUUCAUUGGGCGUAAAGGGUGCGUAGGCGGCGCGGUAAGUCGGGUGUGAAAUCUCGGAGCUUAACUCCGAAACUGCAUUCGAUACUGCCGUGCUUGAGGACUGGAGAGGAGACUGGAAUUUACGGUGUAGCGGUGAAAUGCGUAGAUAUCGUAAGGAAGACCAGUGGCGAAGGCGGUCUCUGGACAGUCCUGACGCUGAGGCACGAAGGCCAGGGAGCAAACGGG